GUCAGUAACCCAGCCCUAAAGGGACUGGGCUUGUAAGAGAAAUCAAGCCGUACUGACCAGACCACCCUGAGCCUGAGAAAAACCGAAAUGUGUAAGAGGAUGUUUGAAAAGUGGUAUUCCGUAAUUUUCAUCACAUUGCUACC
rnacentral:ncRNA from 11 species